rnacentral:sRNA from 1 species
ACUUACCUGGGCCCGGAGAGGGUGGAGGGAGGCCCAGGGCGACCCAAGGUGGAGAGAGACGAGAAGCCGCCGAGAGCCGACCACCCUCCGGGCCCGGUCUGUCUGUCCGUGGUGGUUCUCAGAUGCCUCUGCAGCCUCAUCUGUAUCCUCUAUUGUAAUGGCGUGAAGGAAAGCCAUGGCAGAUUUCCAGCCUGGUGAUGCUGUACAGAACACAGGUGGCCUGCUUGCAUGCCUCCUCAGCUUCAAGAAACUAGAAUGAACCGAAGCAUUCCUGUGGAGGUUGAUGAAUCAGAACCAUACCCAAGUCAGUUGCUGAAACCAAUCCCAGAAUAUUCCCUGGAAGAGGAAUCAGAACCACCUGCUCCAAAUAUAAGGAACAUGGCACCCAACAGCUUGUCUGCAAUGCUUCACAAUUCCUCCGGAGACUUUUCUCAAGCUCACUCAACCCUGAAACUUGCAAAUCACCAGCGGCCUGUAUCCCGGCAGGUCACCUGCCUGCGCACUCAAGUUCUGGAGGACAGUGAAGACAGUUUCUGCAGGAGACACCCAGGCCCGGGCAAAGCUUUCCCUUCUGGGUGCUCUGCAGUCAGUGAGCCUGAGUCUGAGUCUGUGGUUGGAGCCCUCCCUGCAGAGCAUCAGUUUUCAUUUAUGGAAAAACGUAAUCAAUGGCUGGUAUCUCAGCUUUCAGCGGCUUCUCCUGACACUGGCCACGACUCAGACAAAUCAGACCAAAGUUUGCCUAAUGCCUCAGCAGACUCCUUGGGCGGUAGCCAGGAGAUGGUGCAACGGCCCCAGCCUCACAGGAACCGAGCAGGCCUGGAUCUGCCAACCAUAGACACAGGAUAUGAUUCCCAGCCCCAGGAUGUCCUGGGCAUCAGGCAGCUGGAAAGGCCCCUGCCCCUCACCUCCGUGUGUUACCCCCAGGACCUCCCCAGACCUCUCAGGUCCAGGGAGUUCCCUCAGUUUGAACCUCAGAGAUAUCCAGCAUGUGCACAGAUGCUGCCUCCCAAUCUUUCCCCACAUGCUCCAUGGAACUAUCAUUACCAUCGUCCUGGAAGUCCCGAUCACCAGGUGCCAUAUGGCCAUGACUACCCUCGAGCAGCCUACCAGCAAGUGAUCCAGCCGGCUCUGCCUGGGCAGCCCCUGCCUGGAGCCAGUGUGAGAGGCCUGCACCCUGUGCAGAAGGUUAUCCUGAAUUAUCCCAGCCCCUGGGACCAAGAAGAGAGGCCCGCACAGACAGACUGCUCCUUUCCGGGGCUUCCAAGGCACCAGGACCAGCCACAUCACCAGCCACCUAAUAGAGCUGGUGCUCCUGGGGAGUCCUUGGAGUGCCCUGCAGAGCUGAGACCACAGGUUCCCCAGCCUCUGUCCCCAGCUGCUGUGCCUAGACCCCCUAGCAACCCUCCAGCCAGAGGAACUCUAAAAACAAGCAAUUUGCCAGAAGAAUUGCGGAAAGUCUUUAUCACUUAUUCGAUGGACACAGCUAUGGAGGUGGUGAAAUUCGUGAACUUUUUGUUGGUAAAUGGCUUCCAAACUGCAAUUGACAUAUUUGAGGAUAGAAUCCGAGGCAUUGAUAUCAUUAAAUGGAUGGAGCGCUACCUUAGGGAUGUAAGUACAUUCCAAAAACCAGAGUUUGUUUUCUGGUGAGAAAGACAAUGAGCUUAUGAAGUUGUUUUAUCAAAGAAACCCUGGCAUACCCACCUAAGUCUGAAGCUGAGAAAGCCCCAACAAAGCCUCCCUUGUUGGAAGCCGUGCAAAGACUUGGAAAGGAAGGAUGGAGUCGCCCUCUUGGACAUGCACAGGCAGGAAAUAACGGUCAAACCAGACACAGGUGGUUGAUAACAAUCAGAGGAAACAAUCUUUUGAUGAGAAUAGGAAAGAAGGAAAUGAAGGCGGAGAGUAGGGAGAGAGCAGCAGAAUUCAAUUUAAUCUGAGGCCACCCCAAGUGUUUUGUAGAAUUGGGCUGAAGAGGUUUCCUA